rnacentral:rRNA from 1 species
UGGGGAAUUUUGGACAAUGGGGGAAACCCUGAUCCAGCCAUCCCGCGUGUGCGAUGAAGGCCUUCGGGUUGUAAAGCACUUUUGGCAGGAAAGAAACGUCAUGGGUUAAUACCCCGUGAAACUGACGGUACCUGCAGAAUAAGCACCGGCUAACUACGUGCCAGCAGCCGCGGUAAUACGUAGGGUGCAAGCGUUAAUCGGAAUUACUGGGCGUAAAGCGUGCGCAGGCGGUUCGGAAAGAAAGAUGUGAAAUCCCAGGGCUCAACUUUGGAACUGCAUUUUUAACUACCGGGAUAGAGUGUGUCAGAGGGAGGUGGAGUUGCGCGUGUAGCAGUGAAAUGCGUAGAUAUGCGGAGGAACACCGAUGGCGAAGGCAGCCGCCUGGGAUAACACUGACGCUCAUGCACGAAAGCGUGGGGAGCAAACAGG